UUUCAGAUGAUGAGUCCCAAACAAAACGAAAUGCACAUCCUGGAU
rnacentral:hammerhead_ribozyme from 1 species